rnacentral:rRNA from 1 species
UACGUAGGGACCGAGCGUUGUCCGGAUUCAUUGGGCGUAAAGAGCUCGUAGGCGGCUGUUCAAGUCGAACGUGAAACUCGGGGCUCAACUCCGAGCCUGCGUUCGAUACUGGAUGGCUAGAGUCUGGUAGGGGGAUCUGGAAUUCCUGGUGUAGCGGUGGAAUGCGCAGAUAUCAGGAGGAACAGCCGGUGGCGAAGGCGAGUCCCUGGACACUUCCUGACACUGAGGCACGAAAGCUAGGGGAGCAAACAGG